rnacentral:rRNA from 1 species
GUGCAGCCGCCGCGGUAAUACGGAGGGGGUUAGCGUUGUUCGGAAUUACUGGGCGUAAAGCGCACGUAGGCGGAUUAGAAAGUAUGGGGUGAAAUCCCGGGGCUCAACCCCGGAACUGCCUCAUAAACUCCUAGUCUAGAGAUCGAGAGAGGUGAGUGGAAUUCCAAGUGUAGAGGUGAAAUUCGUAGAUAUUUGGAGGAACACCAGUGGCGAAGGCGGCUCACUGGCUCGAUACUGACGCUGAGGGACGAAAGCGUGGGUAGCGAACAGGAUUAGAUA